rnacentral:rRNA from 1 species
CUUGCUCUCGGGUGACGAGCGGCGGACGGGUGAGUAAUGUCUGGGAAACUGCCUGAUGGAGGGGGAUAACUACUGGAAACGGUAGCUAAUACCGCAUAACGUCGCAAGACCAAAGUGGGGGACCUUCGGGCCUCAUGCCAUCAGAUGUGCCCAGAUGGGAUUAGCUAGUAGGUGGGGUAACGGCUCACCUAGGCGACGAUCCCUAGCUGGUCUGAGAGGAUGACCAGCCACACUGGAACUGAGACACGGUCCAGACUCCUACGGGAGGCAGCAGUGGGGAAUAUUGCACAAUGGGCGCAAGCCUGAUGCAGCCAUGCCGCGUGUGUGAAGAAGG